UUUUUAAUAAUUAUUAGUAUGUUUUAAUUAAAGAAUUAAUUUUUAAAGUAAAUUGAACUAAUUUUUUUUAUUAUAGUCUACAAGUACUGUGAAGGAAUUUUGAAAUAUUUGAAAAAAGAAAGAAUUUUUAAGAAGGUUUAAUUUUUUGUACCUUGUGUAUCAGGGUUGAUUAAUUAUUAAUUAUAAAAUUUAAUUGUCUCGAAUUGGGUAGGGCUAAGAAUUAAUAGAUUUUAAUGUUAAAUAAUUAUUUAUAAUUAAUUUUUUGUAAUGAAAUGUUAGUCGUUUCCUAAUAUAUCUAGUUUUUUAAGAAAAAAUUUUAAUUUUAUUAUUUUUUUUUACUUUACUAUUAAUGUAAAUGUAAGAAUUGAAUAGUGUAUAUUUUGAGGGAUGAGCUUCAAUUUAUAUUUUUAUAAAUUUAUUUUAGUGUUUAGUAAUUUGUAUGAUUAGAAAUUUUUUUCAUAAAGUUUGUUAUAAUUUUUUACAAUUUAUUUUGCAUUUAUUUUUUUUUAGGUUUAUUAUUAAAAUGAUUUUUAAAAUUUUAUUUUAAAUUUAAUAAUGAUUAAAUUAGUAAAUAAUUAAUUUAUUGUGUAAUUAUUUUUUUAAGUUAGGUUUAAGGAACUCGGCAAAUUUAAUUUCUGCCUGUUUAUUAAAAACAUGUCCUUUUGUUUAAAAUUUAAGGUCUGAUCUGCCCAAUGAUUAUUUUUAAUGGCCGCGAUAUUUUGAUCGUGCGAAGGUAGCAUAAUCAUUAGCUUUUUAAUUGAAAGCUGGUAUGAAUGAUUGGACGAGAAAUUAACUGUCUCAAAUUUAUUUAUUGAAUUUUAUUUUUUAGUUAAAAAGCUGAGAUUUGUUUGUAAGACGAGAAGACCCUAUAGAGUUUUAUAUUGAUUAUAUUUAUUAAAAUUUUAGUUUUUAAAUUAUUUUAUUUAUUAAAAUAUUUAGUUGGGGUGACGGAAAAAUUUAAUUAACUUUUUCUUUUUGUUUUAUAUAGAUUUAUAGGUUUUUGAUUUUAAAUUUAAAUUAAAAGAUUUAAUUACCUUAGGGAUAACAGCGUAAUUCUUUUUAAGAGUUCAUAUCGAAAAAGGAGAUUGCGACCUCGAUGUUGGAUUAAAGUUAAAUUUUGGUGUAGAAGCUUAACAAUUUUAGUCUGUUCGACUAUUAAAACUUUACAUGAUCUGAGUUUAAACCGGCGUGAGCCAGGUUGGGUUCUAUCUUCAAUUGUAUAAAAUAUUUUAGUACGAAAGGACCAAAUAUUUGUUAAAUUAAUUUUUACUUUGAUUAAUAAUAU
rnacentral:rRNA from 1 species